ensembl:lncRNA
GAUCCAUGCAGUUUGGCGCACACGAAGCAAGCCAGCAAAGCCCAGGAGAAUGCCGACAGCCCCAAACUGGAGCACCCUCCCGUCUGCUCACCCUUGCGGCUUGGAGCUUCUCCCGCAUGCGCUCCCUCAUGGAAAACUCUGCGAAGCCCGUUCUGGAUGUUGAAGGAAUUGGAGGGCUUCACGCGAGCAACCAUGAGAUGUGCUGCAGCCCCGCUUUGGAUGCAGGAAGGUGUGUCUUGGCUUGGAGGCUGACAGGGAAAAUGGCUCUGCCAGGACUGUCGCCCCAACUUAACCAAGAAUAAAGGGAAUGGCACCUGAGGCCCAACUCAGAUUCCACUGGGGAGAGGCCCUGACAUUCAUGGAUUGGGAACAGACGCCUAAGGAGUCAAGCCUUUCACUUUGAGCAGAGAAAUCUCUUCUCCAGGCCUUGGCCACAGCCCCGCUCAGUGGCAUAGAGAUGCAGUGUGUUUUGUCCAUAGUAUGAAAUACGGACAACACAUCUGGAACCAGUGGGCAGCUGAUGUGUGGCAGGCACUGUGACACACGUCAAAUGCACCGUCUCCUCGGUCUCCUCCUGGCAGACCCUGGGUGUCCCUGACCCAGGCAGGAGACGACACAGACUCUGAGGCCCUGUGUGAAACCCUCCCACCUUGGCAAAAUUCCAGGGAUGGAAAUGUGAACCUGGAGUGCGUGGGAGCAGCACCCGGCAGAAGCCAGCUUGAUUCAGGAGCUGAAACUGGAAAGGAGAAGAGGUCGUAUCCGCGGGGCUGGGAGGAAAGCUGUAAUGACGUGGACAAUGCAAGGACCUAAAGUAUCACCAGCCACAGUCAAAGCUCUGGGGACACAGGAUUCUGCCAACAAGCAGGGAAAAGCCAGGGCAAGGAAGGGGCCAAAUGGCUAAGGACAGUCACCAGUAGGGUGGAAGAAUGAGGUGGUUACCCACUGAAGGGUAUGAACGGAGGGUGACACAACCUGAUUUUUUUUUUUUUUUUUUGGUACAGGAGAUUGAACUCGGGACCUUGCGCUUGCGAGGCAGGUGGCAGAACCACUGAGCUAAAUCCCUGGCCCACAACCUGAUUUUUAUAAGAUUUCUCUGGCACCUUGGUCAAGAAUGAGGGGAGAAUGCAAGCAAAGAGACCAGUUAGGAGGCUCUCGCAAGACCUAGGUGAGAGAUGAGGGUCUAGGGUCGGGAUGGGGGAGCGGAAGGAUGGCUACAUUUUAGGCUCAUUCUGACGGUGGUGCAGAUGGGCUUGGUGGGUGUGGGCGGAGAGGUGGAGGAAUCCAGGAGGCUGCUUCAAGUCCUCCCCCAAAAAGCUCCAUUAGGAAGAUGGGAAAGGCUGUAGGAGAAUCAGGCUUAUGUUGGCAGAAAGUGAUUGCUUUCAGGUGCAUGAAACUUGAGUCAUCUCAAAAGCGGCCACAGACCUAACUAAAGAGCUAAAACUAUAAACCUUCUAGAAGAAAACAUAAGAGAAAUAUUUCAAGAUCUUGGGUUGGGCAAAGAAUUUUUAGAUACAACUCCAAAAACACAAUAUGUGAUUAGAAAAAAAUAAAUUCGAAUCUAUCAAAAUUAAAAACAUUUAUACUUCAAAAACAUCAUUGGAAAAAUGAAAAGACAAGCCAUUGACUUAGAGAAAAUACUAUAUUUUCAAGUUAUUUAUCUGAUAAAGUACUUGUACGUAGAAUAAAGAACUCUGAAAGCUCUAUAGUAAGAUAAACAGUUUAGAAAAUUUACCUAAAAGAUGUACAAAUGGCUAACAAUAAUACAAAAAUAUUUCAAAAUCAUUAACCAUGAGGGAAAUGCAAGUUAAAAGCACAAUGAGAUACCAGUUCAUAUUCACCAUAAAGGCUAUACCUGUAUACAGUCCCUCUUAAUCUUCAAUUUCAGUUACUUGUCAUCAACCACAGUCCAAAAAUAUUACAUGGAAAAUUUAAGAAAAAAGCAAUUCACAAGUUUUGAAUUUCGUGUGCUUCUGAGUAGUAUGCUAAAAUCUCAUGCCAUCCAGCUGUGUCCCACCGGGACACGAAGCACCCCUUUCCCAUGGACCUGUGCUAUAUAAAUUGCCACCUCUUGGUCACUUAGGAGCCACGCUGGUAAUCAGAUUUACUGUCAUGAUAUCCAGGUGCUUGUGUUCAGGUACCCUUAUUUUACUUAAUAAAGGCCUCAAAAUGUAACAGGAGUGAUACUGGCAAUUCAGACAUAGCAAAGGGAAGCUGUAGGUUGUUUCCUUUGUGUAGCUGAAAGUUCUCAAUGGGAAAGAAAAAAAAUCAGAUGCUGAGAUUGCAAAGGGAUGCAGAAUAAUAAGAUAUUUUGAGAGAUAAAGAGGAUUUAUAUAACCUUCAUUACAAAUAUUGUUCAAGCUUCUAUUUUAUUAUUAGUUAUUGUUGCUUACCUCUUAUUGUGUUAACAUGUUUGUUAAGCCUUACCAUGGGUAGUUAUGUAAAGGGGGAAACCUAUUAUAAAGUUCAGCUCUCUAUAAGUUUCAGGCAUCGCCUGUGGGUCUGUGGAAUGUAUCUCUGUGAAUAAGCAGGAGAGUACUGUAGUUAAAGACAGAUAAUACAAGUAUUGAGAAGGAUGUAGGAAGGCUGGAACUCGUGCCAAUUGUUGGUGGGAACAUAAAAUGACAAAGCCACUUUGGGACAGACUGGCAGUUUCUUAAAAAAUGAAACAUAAAUUUUAUCAAUAGUCUACCCCUAGAAAUCCUCCCAAGAGAAAUAAAAACAUAUGUCUUCAGGGAGAUGUUACAAGUGUUCAUGGCAACACUGUUUAUACUGUACCAAAAUGAAUAUAAUCUAAAUGUCCACCCAGAGAUGCAUAAAGAAACAAAAUGUGGUAUGUGUGUAGGACGGAAUAUAAUUCAACAAUGAAAAGAGGAAAUGUGGAUACAUGCUACAGCGUUUAGGAAUCUCAAAAAACUAUGCUAAGGGAAAGAAGCCAGAUGCAAAUCACUACAUAUGCGAUUCAAUUUACACACAAUGUCAGGAAAGUAGGUUUAUAGGGAUAGAAAACAGAUCUGGGGGGCCGAGGAUUUAGCUCAGUGGUUAGGCCUGCCUCACAAGUGCAAGGACUCAAGUUUGAUUCCCAGUACCAAGAAAAAAAAAAAAAAAGAAAACAGAUCUGUGUUUGUCUAGAAUUAGGGCAGGGGUGGAGAUAAAGACACAAAGAGGAAAUGUGGGGGUUAAUGAAAAUGUUCUAAAAUAUUUAUACAUCUAUACAUUUAUCAAAAAUUCCCGAAUCAUAUACAGUGGUACCUCAGUUCAUGAACUUAAUUUGCUCUAUGAUUUUGGAAAAGAUGGCCAUGUUUGUGCGUUUGUGUUCGUGCAGGAAGAUGGCUGCACUCAUGUCUGUCACCCACUGCAGAGUUUUGCAAAGCACUUCUUGGUUUUUUUUGGUACCAGGGAUCAGACUCAGGAGCUUGCACUUGCAAGGCAGGCGUGCUGCUGUUAAGCCAAAUCCCUGGCCCUGCAAAGCACCUCUGUCUGCAAGCCAAACUGUUUGUGAACAGAAGCGUUUAUGAACCAAGGCAGUACUGUACUCAGAAUGGGUGAAUUUUAUGAUUCGAACAGCUGUCUCUCUAAGGCUAUUAAAAUGAGCUGUCUUGUUAAUAUCCAAAAGUCGUAAAUGCACACUCGGUCUGGCAGGGGCCAGGCAGAGGAAAACAGCGUGUGGACAGGAUCAAAGCCUUGAGGUACCAACAGGAAUCGGUGUUGAUACAGAAAGCAGGGCCACGCUAGGAACUCGAAUGCACGACACCGGGCAGCUGGGCUGUGAGUGAGGGCUCCAAAGACGAGAAGAGGAGCAGCCAGAGAGGCAGAAGGAGAACCAGGUGAGUGGCACUUGGGAAGCAAAAUAAAAAAGCAGGAGGGAGGAUGAGCAGCUCAAGCUCAAGCAAGACUCAGCUUCCUGGCAUCACGAUGCUGCUGGGAGCCCCGUCAGUUCAGGAUCAAGCACUGAUGGUGAAUUAGCAA